GACGAACGCUGGCGGCAGGCUUAACACAUGCAAGUCGAACGAGUGUCGGACGGGUGCGUAAUGCUUGGGAAUCUAGCUUAUGGAGGGGGAUAACUACGGGAAACUGUAGCUAAUACCGCGUACCAUAGGAUGAGCCCAAGGGGGAUUAGGUAGUUGGUGAGGUAAAGGCUCACCAAGCUGACGAUCUCUAGCUGGUCUGAGAGGAUGAACAGCCACACUGGGACUGAGACACGGCCCAGACUCCUACGGGAGGCAGCAGUGGGGAAUAUUGCGAAAUGGGGGCAACCUGACGCAGCCAUGCCGCGUGAAUGAAGAAGGCCUUCGGGUUUUAAAGUUCUUUCGGUAGCGAGGCGUUAACUACAGAAGAAGCACCGGCUAACUCCGUGCCAGCAGCCGCGGUAAUUC
rnacentral:rRNA from 1 species